AACGAACGCUGGCGGCAUGCCUAACACAUGCAAGUCGAACGAGACCUUCGGGUCUAGUGGCGCACGGGUGCGUAACGCGUGGGAACCUGCCCUUAGGUUCGGAAUAACUCCCCGAAAGGGGUGCUAAUACCGGAUAAUGUCUUCGGACCAAAGAUUUAUCGACUUUGGAUGGGCCCGCGUUGGAUUAGCUAGUUGGUAGGGUAAAAGCCUACCAAGGCGACGAUCCAUAGCUGGUCUGAGAGGAUGAUCAGCCACACUGGGACUGAGACACGGCCCAGACUCCUACGGGAGGCAGCAGUGGGGAAUAUUGGACAAUGGGCGAAAGCCUGAUCCAGCAAGGCCGCGUGAGUGAUGAAGGCCUUAGGGUUGUAAAGCUCUUUUACCCGGGAUGAUAAUGACAGUACCGGGAGAAUAAGCUCCGGCUAACUCCGUG
rnacentral:rRNA from 1 species